UCAGGCACAGGCAGGUAGGCCCUCAGGCAUGCUCCCACCUACACCCUACUUACACAACCAAUUGAGGCCGCAAAAGGAAGACAUGGUAGAGAUGAGGGAUUUAAAUUAAGAGGUCUUACACUGAGAGAUGGAAGAGGCAGGAAGGAAAACUGCUACCCAUCUGACUCUGAGACUCUGGAAUUUAGUCCCACAGGUUAAAAGUAACUACACUGAGUCAAAUUAAAUGUAAACCAAGCUCCUUUUGCGGCACUAUUUUAGAGAACAUUCCAGGAUCUUCGAGGAUAAAUUUUAUUGGUUUCUUUGAAAGUCACCCUUUUCACCCAGCAUAAAGGCAUGAAAAUAUGAAAA